rnacentral:rRNA from 1 species
AACGAACGCUGGCGGCAUGCCUAACACAUGCAAGUCGAACGAGACCUUCGGGUCUAGUGGCGCACGGUUGCGUAACGCGUGGGAACCUGCCCUUAGGUUCGGAAUAACUCCCCGAAAGGGGUGCUAAUACCGGAUAAUGUCUUCGGACCAAAGAUUUAUCGCCUUUGGAUGGGCCUGCGUUGGAUUAGCUAGUUGGUAGGUUAAAAGCCUACCAAGGCGACGAUCCAUAGCUGGUCUGAGAGGAUGAUCAGCCGCACUGGGACUGAGACACGGCCCAGACUCCUACGGGAGGCAGCAGUGGGGAAUAUUGGACAAUGGGCGAAAGCCUGAUCCAGCAAUGCCGCGUGAGUGAUGAAGGCCUUAGGGUUGUAAAGCUCUUUUACCCGGGAUGAUAAUGACAGUACCGGGAGAAUAAGCUCCGGCUAACUCCGUG